rnacentral:rRNA from 1 species
GGGAAGAGGAAGGCAGCCGCUAAGCCGCCCACUAGGAAGCGGAUGGACAAGCUCGAUAUGGUCUUUUCCUGCCCAUUCUGCAAUGAUAGGAGCAGCGUUGAAUGCCGGAUGUGAUAUGGAAACCUGAUUGGUGAGGCUAAUUGUGAAAUCUGACAGGAAAGCUUCAGCAGCCAGCACCACUGCAAAUGGUAUGUCCAAAUCAUACAUAAAACUGCAGAUUGUACCUCCUAUAACAUAGACGUAGAUGCCAUAGAUGCCAUACUGAUUGGCUCUCAACUAGAAAAUUAUGCACCGGGCAUCUGA